AUUGAACGCUGGCGGCAUGCCUAACACAUGCAAGUCGAACGGAAACGAUGGGAGCUUGCUCCCAGGCGUCGAGUGGCGGACGGGUGAGUAACACAUAGGAAUCUGCCCAGUAGCGGGGGACAACUUGGGGAAACUCAAGCUAAUACCGCAUACGCCCUACGGGGGAAAGCGGGGGACCUUCGGGCCUCGCACUAUUGGAUGAGCCUAUGUCAGAUUAGCUUGUUGGUGGGGUAAUGGCCUACCAAGGCGACGAUCUGUGGCUGGUCUGAGAGGACGAUCAGCCACACUGGGACUGAGACACGGCCCAG
rnacentral:rRNA from 1 species